AUUGAACGCUGGCGGCAUGCCUUACACAUGCAAGUCGAACGGUAACAGGUCUUCGGAUGCUGACGAGUGGCGAACGGGUGAGUAAUACAUCGGAACGUGCCCGAUCGUGGGGGAUAACGAAGCGAAAGCUUUGCUAAUACCGCAUACGGUCUACGGAUGAAAGCAGGGGACCGCAAGGCCUUGCGCGAACGGAGCGGCCGAUGGCGGAUUAGGUAGUUGGUGGGAUAAAAGCUUACCAAGCCGACGAUCUGUAGCUGGUCUGAGAGGACGACCAGCCACACUGGGACUGAGACACGGCCCAGACUCCUACGGGAGGCAGCAGUGGGGAAUUUUGGACAAUGGGCGAAAGCCUGAUCCAGCCAUGCCGCGUGCAGGAUGAAGGCCUUCGGGUUGUAAACUGCUUUUGUACGGAACGAAAAGACUCUGGUUAAUACCUGGGGUCCAUGACGGUACCGUAAGAAUAAGCACCGGCUAACUACGUGCCAGCAGCCGCCGUAAUAC
rnacentral:rRNA from 1 species